rnacentral:rRNA from 1 species
ACAUCCAGAGAAUUUAGCAGAGAUGCUUUAGUGCCUUCGGGAACUCUGAGACAGGUGCUGCAUGGCUGUCGUCAGCUCGUGUUGUGAAAUGUUGGGUUAAGUCCCGCAACGAGCGCAACCCUUAUCCUUUGUUGCCAGCACGUAAUGGUGGGAACUCAAAGGAGACUGCCGGUGAUAAACCGGAGGAAGGUGGGGAUGACGUCAAGUCAUCAUGGCCCUUACGAGUAGGGCUACACACGUGCUACAAUGGCGCAUACAAAGAGAAGCGACCUCGCGAGAGCAAGCGGACCUCAUAAAGUGCGUCGUAGUACCGGAUUGGAGUCUGCAACUCGACUCCAUGAAGCCGGAAUCGCUAGUAAUCGUAAAUCAGAAUGUUACGGUGAAUACGUUCCCGGGCCUUGUACACACCGCCCGUCACACCAUGGGAGUGGGUUGCAAAAGAAGUAGAUAGCUUAACCUUCGGGAGGGCGUUUACCACUUUGUGAUUCAUGACUGGGGUGAAGUCGUAACAAGGUAAGCGUAGUGCU